CAUAAUCUCUGAGGAGAAAAGCAGGGGAUCGCAAGACCCUGCGCUUUUGGAGCGGCCGAUGUCUGAUUAGCUAGUUGGUGAGGUAAAGGCUUACCAAGGCUUCGAUCAGUAGCUGGUCUGAGAGGACGACCAGCCACACUGGGACUGAGACACGGCCCAGACUCCUACGGGAGGCAGCAGUGGGGAAUUUUGGACAAUGGGGGCAACCCUGAUCCAGCCGUGCCGCGUGAGUGAAGAAGGCCUUCGGGUUGUAAAGCUCUUUCAGCCGGAACGAAACGGUCACGGUUAAUAACUGUGAUCACUGACGGUACCGGAAGAAGAAG
rnacentral:rRNA from 1 species